rnacentral:rRNA from 1 species
CGAUUGCGGCUCAGUAACACGUGAUCAACUUACCCUAAGGCGGAAGAUAACCUCGGGAAACUGAGGAUAAUAUUCCGUAAUUGAGGAUGCCUGGAAGGGUUUCUCAACCAAAGCACAAUUUAAAUGGUAAUUGUAGCGCCUUAGGAUAGGAUCGCGUCCGAUUAUGGCAGUUGGUGAGGUAACGGCUCACCAAACCUAUUAUCGGUAAGGGCCGUGAGAGCGGGAGCCCUGAGAUGGGUACUGAGACAAUGACCCAGGUCUUAACGAGACGCAGCAGGCGCGAAAUCUUCACCUGCACGAAAGUGUGAUGAGGUUACCCGGAUUGCUACAAUGUAGCUGUGGUAGGUGAGUAAGAUUCCCUACUAGGAAGGAGAGGGCAAGGCUGGUGCCAGCCGUCGCGGUAAAAACGGCUCUUCCGUGGUCGGGAUUUUUAUUGGGCUUAAAGUGUCCGUACCGGUAUAU